rnacentral:rRNA from 1 species
AUUGAACGCUGGCGGCAGGCCUAACACAUGCAAGUCGAACGGUAACAGGAAGCAGCUUGCUGCUUCGCUGACGAGUGGCGGACGGGUGAGUAAUGUCUGGGAAGCUGCCUGAUGGAGGGGGAUAACUACUGGAAACGGUAGCUAAUACCGCAUAAUGUCGCAAGACCAAAGAGGGGGACCUUCGGGCCUCUUGCCAUCGGAUGUGCCCAGAUGGGAUUAGCUUGUUGUUGGGGUAACGGCUCACCAAGGCGACGAUCCCUAGCUGGUCUGAGAGGAUGACCAGCAACACUGGAACUGAGAAACGGUCCAGAUUCCUACGGGAGGCAGCAGUGGGGAAUAUUGCACAAUGGGCGCAAGCCUGAUGCAGCCAUGCCGCGUGUAUGAAGAAGGCCUUCGGGUUGUAAAGUACUUUCAGCGGGGAGGAAGGGAGUAAAGUUAAUACCUUUGCUCAUUGACGUUACCCGCAGAAGAAGCACCGGCUAACUCCGUG